CCUACGGGUGGCAGCAGUGAGGAAUAUUGGUCAAUGGGCGCGAGCCUGAACCAGCCAAGUCGCGUGAGGGAUGAAGGCCCUAUGGAUUGUAAACCUCUUUUAUAAGGGAAUAAAGUGCGGGACGUGUCCCAUUUUGUAUGUACCUUAUGAAUAAGGAUCGGCUAACUCCGUGCCAGCAGCCGCGGUAAUACGGAGGAUCCGAGCGUUAUCCGGAUUUAUUGGGUUUAAAGGGUGCGUAGGCGGCUUUUUAAGUCAGCGGUGAAAGUCUGUGGCUCAACCAUAGAAUUGCCGUUGAAACUGGCGGGCUUGAGUAUGUUUGAGGCAGGCGGAAUGCGUGGUGUAGCGGUGAAAUGCUUAGAUAUCACGCAGAACCCCGAUUGCGAAGGCAGCCUAC
rnacentral:rRNA from 1 species